rnacentral:misc_RNA from 1 species
AAGUCGUAACAAGGUUUCCGUAGGUGAACCUGCGGAAGGAUCAUUAACAGUUUGAUUACUUCGUUUUGUGCUCUAUGUAACUAUUAGUUGAUUUGUUUGGAUUGAUAACUUAAAACUUGCAACAACGGAUCUCUAGGCUCUCC